CUAAAAUUAUACGCACGGUAUUUACACAAACAAUAAACAGACUCCAGCAGGCCAUGCAUCCAUCACACAAAUAAAUUAUCAUUACAAUAUGGAAAAGGAUCAAUAAAAUAUUUUUUUAUUCACAACAACGAUGAGUACAAUAAUCUGACCCCAUGGAGUGGUGGACCUAUGCGCCGGUAAUCUUGGCCGUCGUGAUGUUUCUUCUAAUGGGGACUAUAUUCGAGCGCAGAAUUGAAGCAGCCAUCCGAAGAAUUCUGGAAACUCGCCAGAUGUUAACCGUAGCUGAAGCACCCGCCAUCCCUGAAAUAGAUACCGCUCUACUCCAGGCGUCCAUCACAACCAAACGAAAAGUGCUAGAGACCAAGAGAUGCACCUCGGACACUGUAGCCCACAAGAGUAUUGUAACGAUACUACCUCACAGAUCCGUGCCUCUUAUCAAUAUGCACACUAUAUAAAUCAAAUUGUAAUUUUUCAAUAAACAAUACAA